rnacentral:rRNA from 1 species
CAAUAGCGUAUAUUAAAGUUGUUGCAGUUAAAAAGCUCGUAGUUGAAGAUACGAACGCUUACACUAGAACAAAGUUUCCGGUGUCUGCGUUCACUUUUCGCAAAGACAGCCUGGCCCAUUAGUUUGGGUCUUGUUUGAGUUGCGUCAUUUACUGUGAACAAAUUAGGGUGUUUAAAGCAGGCCUACGUUUGAAUUCACUAGCAUGGAAUAAUAAGAUAUGAUCUUGGUCGUAUUUUGUUGGUGACUACCAAGAUAAUGAUUGAUAGAAACUGUUGUGGGUAUUCGUAUGAGCAUGUCAGAGGUGAAAUUCUUGGAUUUUGAUCAGACGAACUACUGCGAAAGUAUUUACCAAGGAUGUUUUCAUUAA